GUGCCAGCAGCCGCGGUAAUACCAGCCCCGCGAGUGGUUGGGACGUUUACUAGGCCUAAAGCGCCUGUAGCCGGCCCUGUAAGUCCCUCCCUAAAGGCCCGGGCUCAACCCGGGAACCGGGAGGGAUACUGCAGGGCUAGGGGGCGGGAGAGGCGGGGGGUACUCCCGGAGUAGGGGCGAAAUCCGUAGAUCCCGGGAGGACCACCAGUGGCGAAGGCGCCCCGCUAGAACGCGCCCGACGGUGAGAGGCGAAAGCCGGGGCAGCAAAAGGGAUUAGAUACCCCUGUAGUCCCGGCUGUAAACGAUGCCGGCUAGGUGUCGCGUGGGCUUAGAGCCCACGCGGUGCCGCAGGGAAGCCGUUAAGCCGGCCGCCUGGGGAGUACGGCCGCAAGGCUGAAACUUAAAGGAAUAGGCGGGGGAGCACCACAAGGGGUGGAACCUGCGGCUCAAUUGGAGUCAACACCUGGAAGCUUACCGGGGGAGACCGCAGGAUGACGGCCAGGCUAACGACCUUGCCUGACUCGCGGAGAGGAGGUGCAUGGCCGUCGCCAGUUCGUGUUGUGAAAUGUCCGGUUAAGUCCGGCAACGAGCGAGACCCCCACCCCUAGUUGGUACCCUGGCCCCCGGGCCAGGGCCACACUAGGGGGACUGCCGCCGUAAGGCGGAGGAAGGAGGGGGCCACGGCAGGUCAGCAUGCCCCGAAACCCCCGGGCCGCACGCGGGUUACAAUGGCAGGGACAGCGGGAUCCUGCCCCGAGAGGGGUGGGCAAUCCCUAAACCCUGCCUCAGUUGGGAUCGAGGGCUGCAACUCGCCCUCGUGAACGAGGAAUCCCUAGUAACCGCAGGUCACCAACCUGCGGUGAAUACGUCCCUGCUCCUUGCACACACCGCCCGUC
rnacentral:rRNA from 1 species